rnacentral:rRNA from 1 species
GACAGAGGGUGCAAACGUUGUUCGGAAUUACUGGGCGUAAAGCGCGUGUAGGCGGUCUCGCAAGUCGGAUGUGAAAGCCCAGGGCUCAACCCUGGAAGUGCACUCGAUACUGCGGGGCUAGAGUCCGGAAGGGGCGAGUGGAAUUCCUGGUGUAGCGGUGAAAUGCGCAGAUAUCAGGAGGAACACCAAUGGCGAAGGCAGCUCGCUGGGACGUGACUGACGCUGAGACGCGAAAGCGUGGGGAGCAAACAGG